UUCAAACGAGAGUUUGAUCCUGGCUCAGAACGAACGCUGGCGGCGUGCUUAACACAUGCAAGUCGAGUGCGCGUACCGUAGCAAUACGGUAUGGCGCACGGCGCACGGGUGCGUAACACGUGGGCAAUCUGCCCUUCGAUGGGGAAUAACU
rnacentral:rRNA from 1 species